rnacentral:lncRNA from 1 species
UCUUUCAGGAAAAAAAAAACUAAAGUGGGGAGCCAGGUAGGAGGGCGCUUCAGAGGUUAAUGGUGACCCUCAGCCCAUCCCAACCUGCAGCUUCAAGGACUUUUAUGAGCUGGAGCCUCACAAGUUCCAGAACAAGACCAAUGGCAUCACCCCUCGGCGCUGGUUGGUUCUGUGUAACCCUGGGCUGGCAGAGGUCAUUGCUGAGGUGAGAGAUCACAGUGUGGCUGAUAGGACCAAUGUAGGUCACUACCAGAUAGUCAAGUGGGUAACCUAUACAGUGGCCUCAGCUGAGGGUUGCAAUCCUGUGCUGUGUUCCCAAGGCUGGCAUCCACUUGGAGGAAGGGGCACUGCUUUCUUACUUGAAAGAGCUUGCCCUCUGGCUAAUAGAUGACCUGGCUACAUAGAGGCCAACCUCCUAGAGUCACAGUCU